rnacentral:rRNA from 1 species
GACGAACGCUGGCGGCGUGCUUAACACAUGCAAGUCGAACGGAAAGGCCCUGCUUGCAGGGUACUCGAGUGGCGAACGGGUGAGUAACACGUGGGUGAUCUGCCCUGCACUUCGGGAUAAGCCUGGGAAACUGGGUCUAAUACCGGAUAGGAGCCAUUUUUAGUGUGAUGUUGGAAAGUUUUUUCGGUGUAGGAUGAGCUCGCGGCCUAUCAGCUUGUUGGUGGGGUAAUGGCCUACCAAGGCGGCGACGGGUAGCCGGCCUGAGAGGGUGGACGGCCACAUUGGGACUGAGAUACGGCCCAGACUCCUACGGGAGGCAGCAGUGGGGAAUAUUGCACAAUGGGCGCAAGCCUGAUGCAGCGACGCCGCGUGGGGGAUGACGGCCUUCGGGUUGGAAACUCCUUUCGCUAGGGACGAAGCUUUUUGUGACGGUACCUAGAUAAGAAGCACCGGCUAACUACGUG